rnacentral:rRNA from 1 species
UACAGAGGUCUCAAGCGUUGUUCGGAUUCAUUGGGCGUAAAGGGUGCGUAGGCGGCGCGGUAAGUCGGGUGUGAAAUUUCGAGGCUUAACUUCGAAACUGCAUUCGAUACUGCCGUGCUUGAGGACUGGAGAGGAGACUGGAAUUUACGGUGUAGCGGUGAAAUGCGUAGAUAUCGUAAGGAAGACCAGUGGCGAAGGCGGGUCUCUGGACAGUUCCUGACGCUGAGGCACGAAGGUCAGGGGGAGCAAACGGG